GUCGACGAAGCACUUUAAUUGAUUUCUUCGGAAUGAAGUUUUUGUGACUGUGUGGCGGACGGGUGAGUAACGCGUGGGUAACCUGCCUCAUACAGGGGGAUAACAGUUGGAAACGACUGCUAAUACCGCAUAAGCGCACAGGAUUGCAUGAUCCAGUGUGAAAAACUCCGGUGGUAUGAGAUGGACCCGCGUCUGAUUAGCCAGUUGGCGGGGUAACGGCCCACCAAAGCGACGAUCAGUAGCCGACCUGAGAGGGUGACCGGCCACAUUGGGACUGAGACACGGCCCAAACUCCUACGGGAGGCAGCAGUGGGGAAUAUUGCACAAUGGGGGGAACCCUGAUGCAGCGACGCCGCGUGAGCGAAGAAGUAUUUCGGUAUGUAAAGCUCUAUCAGCAGGGAAGAAGAAUGACGGUACCUGACUAAGAAGCACCGGCUAAAUACGUGCCAGCAGCCGCGGUAAUACGUAUGGUGCAAGCGUUAUCCGGAUUUACUGGGUGUAAAGGGAGCGCAGGCGGUACGGCAAGUCUGAUGUGAAAUCCCGGGGCUCAACCCCGGUACUGCAUUGGAAACUGUCGGACUAGAGUGUCGGAGGGGUAAGUGGAAUUCCUAGUGUAGCGGUGAAAUGCGUAGAUAUUAGGAGGAACACCAGUGGCGAAGGCGGCUUACUGGACGAUUACUGACGCUGAGGCUCGAAAGCGUG
rnacentral:rRNA from 1 species